rnacentral:misc_RNA from 1 species
GAAAUGCGAUAAGUAAUGUGAAUUGCAGAAUUUAGUGAAUCAUCGAAUCUUUGAACGCACAUUGCGCCCCUCGGUAUUCCGGGGGGCAUGCCUGUUCGAGCGUCAUCUUCACCUCUCAAGCCUGGCUUGGUUAUGGGCGUGUGUCUGGUGGAUGGACUCGCCUCAAAAGCAAUCAGCGGAGCCGCCGGGGCCGAACGUAGUGACAUUUACCUCGUUACGGUGUUGCGGCGGGGCCUUCGUCAUGACUUCAUAUCUAAGAUUGACCUCGGAUCAGGUAGGGAUACCCGCUGAACUUAA